GAGGGUAGAGUUCAGUGGUAGAGUGCCUGCCUAGCACGCACAAGGUCCUAGAUUCAAUUCCCAGUACCUCCA
rnacentral:tRNA from 1 species